rnacentral:misc_RNA from 1 species
GAUGAAGAACGUAGCGAAAUGCGAUAAGUAAUGUGAAUUGCAGAAUUCAGUGAAUCAUCGAAUCUUUGAACGCACAUUGCGCCCGCCAGUAUUCUGGCGGGCAUGCCUGUUCGAGCGUCAUUUCAACCAUCAAGCCCCCGGCUUGUGUUGGGGACCUGCGGCUGCCGCAGGCCCUGAAAAGCAGUGGCGGGCUCGCUGUCACACCGAGCGUAGUAAUACAUCUCGCUCAGGGCGUGCUGCGGGUUCCGGCCGUUAAAAAGCCUUAUUUACCCAAGGUUGACCUCGGAUCAGGUAGGAAGACCCGCUGAACUUAAGCAUAUCAGUAAGCGGAGGA